rnacentral:rRNA from 1 species
ACUCCUACGGGAGGCAGCAGUGAGGAAUAUUGGACAAUGGGUGGAAGCCUGAUCCAGCCAUCCCGCGUGCAGGAAGACGGCCCUAUGGGUUGUAAACUGCUUUUAUCUGGGGAUAAACCUACUUACGUGUAAGUAGCUGAAGGUACCAGAAGAAUAAGCACCGGCUAACUCCGUGCCAGCAGCCGCGGUAAUACGGAGGGUGCAAGCGUUAUCCGGAUUUAUUGGGUUUAAAGGGUCCGUAGGCGGACUGAUAAGUCAGUGGUGAAAUCCGACAGCUUAACUGUCGAACUGCCAUUGAUACUGUUAGUCUUGAGUAAGGUUGAAGUGGCUGGAAUAAGUAGUGUAGCGGUGAAAUGCAUAGAUAUUACUUAGAACACCAAUUGCGAAGGCAGGUCACUAAGUCUUAACUGACGCUGAUGGACGAAAGCGUGGGGAGCGAACAGGAUUAGAAACCCUUGUAGUCCCAUGA